rnacentral:rRNA from 1 species
UACGUAGGGUCCGAGCGUUGUCCGGAAUUAUUGGGCGUAAAGGGCUCGUAGGCGGUUUGUCGCGUCGGGAGUGAAACUCAGGGCUCAACCCUGAGCGUGCUUCCGAUACGGGCAGACUAGAGGUAUGCAGGGGAGAACGGAAUUCCUGGUGUAGCGGUGAAAUGCGCAGAUAUCAGGAGGAACACCGGUGGCGAAGGCGGUCUCUGGCAUGAUCUGACGCUGAGGAGCGAAAGUGUGGGAGGCGAACAGG